rnacentral:rRNA from 1 species
UACAGAGGGUGCGAGCGUUGUUCGGAUUCAUUGGGCGUAAAGGGUGCGUAGGCGGCGCGGUAAGUCGGGUGUGAAAUCUCGGGGCUUAACUCCGAAACUGCAUUCGAUACUGCCGUGCUUGAGGACUGGAGAGGAGACUGGAAUUUACGGUGUAGCGGUGAAAUGCGUAGAUAUCGUAAGGAAGACCAGUGGCGAAGGCGGGUCUCUGGACAGUUCCUGACGCUGAGGCACGAAGGCCAGGGGAGCAAACGGG